ensembl:lncRNA
CCCCCCCAUCCCUCCCUCCCUCCUGCAGUCACACACACACACUGUCUCUGCUCUGUCCCGCUGUGUGCCAGUCCCGCUCUGCCUCUCCACUCUCAGCUCUCUCCACUCGUCCUUUCUACAUCCCUCCACCGCUUCUCUUCCUCUUAUCACUGAUAGCAAGCCGGAUCUCGGGCCGCUACUUCCACCACCACCAAACUGCCCCCUGGAGAAUUUACUUUCACCUACUUUUUCUUUUUCAAUUCUGCUGUCCUGCACCUUCCCCUCCGGAGAGGCCGGUUGGUGCGUGUCUGGCGCGUGCGAGAGCUCCGGUGUCGCGCUCUUUGCCCCCCCCCCGAGGGAAUCCCUGGCGGUUGUCUGAGUCGGAGGAGAAGAACUUUUUUCGCCACGAUGAACGUUCAGCUGCUGCUGGUGUUGGCCCUGGUCGGCCCUUUCUGUGCCUUUACACAUGCAAGCCCCACAGAGAUCCCCAAAGACCUUGAUGAGAGCGACGGUGCCGUAGCAGACCUUGGACCUGCCGUUACAGAAGCUUCGGCAAUGGACUUGACUGUUACCCCUGACCCUCCUGCAACCGAACCAGAGACGUCCCCAGAAGAUGUUGCGGCAACGGAAGGAGCCGCGACAACGGAAGCAGCCGCGGCAACAGAAGCAGCCACGGCAACGGAAGCAGCCGCUUCAACGGAAGUUGUCACCGGGACGGCGCUCCCCAGCACUGCAUUGAAUACCGAAGACACUGUGAAAACGGAAGCCCCAGCUGCUUCUACUGCAUCACCAGAACCCAUAGUCACUGUAGUGGACAUAACAGACCCCAGUAACACAGCAGAGGGUGAAGUCCAGCCAACGGAAGCAGUGACAGAAAAAGCGGUGGUUGUUGAAGAACAGUCAGAUGAGGGCAUGAGCUCUGGCCAGGUAGUCGGGGUCGUGAUUGGCGCUCUGUUGGCAGUGGUCAUCGCCAUCGCCGUGGUGAUCGCUGUGGUGAGGAGGAUGGGAAAAUACUCCCCUUGAGGAAGAAGUCGGCCAAGCGGCGGGAGCGUUUAAAGUUCUGGAAAUCCUGAACUACUGAACUGUGACGUCAUUCACGACCAUUAAAACAAGCACCAUACCGUAACUAAACUAAUCUAACCAGCACUCUGGACUUUUGCCAAAUAGGGGGAGGGAGGCUAGUAUGUGUUAAUGUAUGAACUGUAUGUAUGUGAGACGAGGGGUACAUGAGCAGACAUCCUCAUCUUCCCUGUCGCAUCCCUCCCCACUGCUCCCCCGGAGAGAACAAAACAAGGUGACGGCAGGAUGUAGUUUGGAAUUUCAGGCCUUUUUUAAAAGCAUUUUGUUUAGAAAAAAAGAGAGAAAGGAAUGUAGAGGAUUAUCUGACCUUUAGGCAUAAAACGUAUCCCUCAAAGAAUGACCGAUGACACAAAUGGAUAUUACUGAAAAAACAAAAGGAAGUUAAUUACAAAUGGAAGGUGCCAGCAGUAGAAAUUGCUCCAAAUUCCACAGAAUGUAUAUAUACCACGCAAGGGGACUACAUAGCACACAGCUAAUGACUUUCUCAUAUGUUGCAGUUGCAUAGGCGAGCGUUUGUUAUUAUAGAAUACACAGUACAUACAGGCAGGCUGCUGUUGUGGCUACCAGAACUUUUAAAGCAACCCUGAGCACCAGUUAAAAUAUUUUCUCAUGUAGCCAGAAUCCCUGAUAUGUCGGCCAACCGUCUGCAGCACCUCUCAGCUUCGCUCUGCUUGCUUUACAAACUCGUUUAACAUGUGCACUCAAUGAGUGAUGUAAUGUUUAAUGAAUAGGUUUUAGACACUGCAAAAGUUUGCAACGACAUGUCUUUGUUUCCUCUCCUCAGCUUUGCCACGUACCAUCAGCUCUAGGUUUAAUUUGUGCCAUUGGAUCUAUUCAAACCCUUUUAUUUAAUUGCAGUGUUUUUGUUCAUACUGUUUCAAUAAUAAACUGAAAACACUCUUAAAAAAAACGUUUUUGUCUUUCGCGCAUGAAGUUUCUCAAUAGCUUUUUCAAAAAUCUGGUUAUCGUCGACGCCAUUUCCAAUCAUUUAGAACACGUAGUGACGGUUUCAACGUCUAAAAGUCAACUCUUUUUUUUGAGCAGUGCUUUAGUUGGUCUUCAGUUUGCCCAAAACACCAC